rnacentral:rRNA from 1 species
UACGAAGGGGGCUAGCGUUGCUCGGAAUCACUGGGCGUAAAGGGUGCGUAGGCGGGUUUUUAAGUCAGAGGUGAAAGCCCGGGGCUCAACUCCGGAACUGCCUUUGAAACUAGAUGGCUAGAAUCUUGGAGAGGCGAGUGGAAUUCCGAGUGUAGAGGUGAAAUUCGUAGAUAUUCGGAAGAACACCAGUGGCGAAGGCGACUCGCUGGACAAGUAUUGACGCUGAGGUGCGAAAGCGUGGGGAGCAAACAGG